UCUCAAGCACCAUACCUUCAAUGUUACUACACAGAAAACAACUCUGACCUUAGGAAGAGAUGGAAAAAGUUUGAGAGAAACUUUGUGUGAAGAGGAGAGAAAUUUAUCUCCCUGAAGUAUUUACAAGAGCCAUUUAUUGAGAUUUGCUGUGAAGGUUUUGUUAUGACUGAUUUGAUUAGAAGUAACAGAUUGAGUCUGGUUGAGAAGAAAGAGAAAUUUAAUAUUGCCAUGCAAGAUUGUUGUAUCCUUGGAUCACAUACAAAAAAGUAAGAUAGAGCUCAAAACUGGAAUGUCACGAGUAUCAUAGAGACCCAUUUGUGUAGUCCCUAGAAAAGAGACUCUAUCUCUGCAUAUGGACCCUAUCUUUGUAUUUCUUAUAAAUCUUGUAUUUUCAUGGCUCAGUUUUUCUCAUCAACUGUGAAAUUGAAAUCUGCAAGUUUAUCUGAUUGAGAGCUUCAUGGUAUUAUGUAUUUCCUUCUGCUCAUUUGAACAUCUUCAAGUGGAGAGAAAUCUUCAAGAAUUCUUGAGAAAAACCUUUCUCCAGUUUCAAAAAU
rnacentral:lncRNA from 1 species